rnacentral:rRNA from 1 species
GAUGAACGCUGGCGGCGUGCCUAAUACAUGCAAGUCGAGCGAACAGACGAGGAGCUUGCUCCUCUGACGUUAGCGGCGGACGGGUGAGUAACACGUGGAUAACCUACCUAUAAGACUGGGAUAACUUCGGGAAACCGGAGCUAAUACCGGAUAAUAUAUUGAACCGCAUGGUUCAAUAGUGAAAGACGGUUUUGCUGUCACUUAUAGAUGGAUCCGCGCCGCAUUAGCUAGUUGGUAAGGUAACGGCUUACCAAGGCAACGAUGCGUAGCCGACCUGAGAGGGUGAUAGGCCACACUGGAACUGAGACACGGUCCAGACUCCUAAGGGAGGCAGCAGUAGGGAAUCUUCCGCAAUGGGCGAAAGCUUGACGGAGCAACGCCGCGUGAGUGAUGAAGGUCUUCGGAUCGUAAAACUCUGUUAUUAGGGAAGAACAAAUGUGUAAGUAACUAUGCACGUCUUGACGGUACCUAAUCAGAAAGCCACGACUAACUACGUG